rnacentral:rRNA from 1 species
GACAGGUGCUGCAUGGCUGUCGUCAGCUCGUGUUGUGAAAUGUUGGGUUAAGUCUCGCAACGAGCGCAACCCCUAUCUUUAGUUGCCAGCAUUAAGUUGGGCACUCUAGAGAGACUGCCCGGGUUAACCGGGAGGAAGGUGGGGAUGACGUCAAGUCCUCAUGGCCCUUAUGCCUAGGGCUACACACGUAAUACAAUGGUAGAUACAAAGGGACGCGACCUGGCAACAGUGAGCAAAUCUCAAAAAGUCUAUCUCAGUCCGGAUUGGAGUCUGCAACUCGACUCCAUGAAGUUGGAAUCGCUAGUA